rnacentral:rRNA from 1 species
GACGAACGCUGGCGGCGCGCUUAACACAUGCAAGUCGAACGGAAAGGCCUGCUUUCCCUUGUGGAUUGCGGGUACUCGAGUGGCGAACGGGUGAGUAACACGUGAGUGAUCUGCCCCCAACUUGGGUAUAAGCCUGGGAAACUGGGUCUAAUUCCCGAUAGGACUGCAGGGUGGUGCCUGUGGUGGAAAACGAUUUUCUAGUGGUUGGGGAUGAGCUCGCGGCCUAUCAGCUUGUUGGUGGGGUAAUGGCCUACCAAGGCGGCGACGGGUAGCCGGCCUGAGAGGGUGGACGGCCACAUUGGGACUGGGAUACGGCCCAGACUCCUACGGGAGGCAGCAGUGGGGAAUAUUGCACAAUGGGCGGAAGCCUGAAGCAGCGACGCCGCGUGGGGGAUGACGGCCUUCGGGUUGUAAACUCCUUUCGACCGCGAGGAAGCCACCUGGUUGGAAGGGUGGUGACGGUAGUGGUAGAAGAAGCACCGGCUAACUACGUG